AAAAGGGAAGUGAACAGAGCUAAAUAAGGCCGUCUUUCGUGCAUGAGGUUCAAGGUCGCACUAUAAGGAUACCCUUAUAAAGCAACACAAGUUGUACAACAUUUUGACUGUAUGUUGUAAAAUUCACAGUAGAUACGCAUAUUGGAGUUGUAGCAUAUGCGUUGCAGAUUUGCAGCUCAUGACGCUAUCGUGGUACAUAUGGAAAAAAAGAAAUAAACGGAGGAAAGGAGAAAGAGGCGCAAGAAACAGAGCCCCUAUUCUCCCCUCAUCUCCCUCAAAUCGCCGCCACCCACCGCCUCGUCUCCCUCCUCUGAUCCACCUCGUCGCGGGCCUUCCCCCUCCACUCCUCCCACCUUGCAGCUCCGGAGGUUGCUGGACCUGCCUCAUCCCCCACCCACCCAUCCCCUCUCAUAUCCCAUCUCUCUCUUCACGUGGCUCCCCGCUGCGCCACCUGCGGCGGCUGAUUCAGGCGACGUCCGGCGAAUCCCACCAUCUUGAAGCAUAGCCUGAGAUUCCCUUGCAUCACGGCGCCCUUCCAUCCGGCUAGAUCCGGCGCUCGCGGCCACCAAAGCCCACCCGCGACCCUCCCCCAUGGCUAGGGUUUCCGUCAUGGGCUCUGGCGCCGGUGGCCAUGUCGUGAUCCUCUCGUCCGACGUGCAGGGAUGAACGACCAGUGGAUAGCCUUGCCGCUACUCGGAAUGAAGCAGCCAUGGAGCUUCCUCCUCCUUCUCCUCUGGUUUCAGAUUCAAAAGAUAUGUGGAUGAUUAUAUGGGUGCAUGGCAAGUAUAGAGCAAUGAUAAUGACGAUGUUCCGGUUCAUGAUGAAGAUGAUGGAUGCUUUCAGUUUUGAUUAUGUAGUAGGGAUGUUGUUCCUGUUGGAUGAUGUUCCUCGACGAAGUUUUAGUUAAGGUGUAGGGAUGUUGAUUGAUGCUUUCAGUUUGAUCUUCGUUGUCAAGAAAUUAUUUAGAUUAUGCAUCACAUUUGGAUGAUGUUCCUCCUGUAAUACCAACUAUCGUAAUCUGACAGUUUUAUUCAAA